UCACCUCACUCUCUCAGAAAAAAAAACUCCCGCUCUGCAGAAAAACUUUCCCUCCAUUGAAACACUCUUCCGCCAUUGAAGCAAGUUAGGUAUGGAUGAUAAUUACUAGGGUUUGAUCGCUUGAUGAUGCUAUUUAUGUUAGGGUUUGGUAGAUUGAUAGUUAGGGUUCUGUGUUUUUUUGUUUCAAUCGAUUAAUGAUGUAUGCUAUUUUUGUUAUUUCUUUGUUUAAAACGAUUGAUGAUGUAUGUUACUUAUGUCAGGGUUUGGUUGAUAGUUAGGGUUUGAAAGUUAAGAUUUUUGUGUCUUUUUGUGUAAAUCGAUUAAUGAUGUACUUUUUUGUGGAUUUUGGUAGAUUGAUACUUAGGGUUUUAUGUAUUUUACAAAUUAAAGUUUGGUAGAUUUUAUAGUUAGGGUUUUGUAUCUUCUUACUUUAUUUUUUUCUUCAAUUUUUAUUUUUAUUUUUAUUUGGAUAGUUGCAGUGGGGUUUAAACCCCUAAAAUUUUUAAACUAUGUUCAUGGUAAUAUUCAGUGAUUGGGUCUCUCCAGUUUUGUCCUGUCAUAUGCUUCUGUUGAUUCUAUGGUAAAAUACACAAAAAUGCUUUCAUAAGUCACAGUAAUGCAAAUUGUCUGACAAGCUAGCAGUCUAGAAGUUUCUUGACUUAAGUUUCGUUUUUAUGUUUGUUAAUGAUUGAUACUUAGGCUUCUCUUUUAUGUUUGUUGUGAAAGAAAGCUUGUACCUCUUGUUAUUUGUUUGAGUCUGGUCAGUAUAUAUCAUGUCAGUGUUGGUAGUCAUUUUUGUUUUUGGUUUGCUUUGGUUAGCUAUCAUUGUAGUGUUAUAUCUUUUGUUGCUUUUGUUUUGUUGAGCAUCCAGAUGCAAACUUGGGUUCUUGACAGGCGGUGGCAACAGGAGUGUGGGCUUUUCAAUUGAAAACUUGUUAUGGAUGGGUUGUAAGUUGCUGUUUACAACUUUUUAUCUGCGUAUCUCUUUCCCAGUUAAAUGAAAACAGUAUUCUAGUUAACUUCUGCAGUUUUUCGUAUGAAAAGUCUUUUAAUCACACAUAUCUUUUGUUACUGGUUCAUACUGCACAUUUGUAUACAUAAGAGCUUUCCAGUUUGUGGAGCUUGUUGAGCUUGAGCAUUGCUCAUCUUCUUACUGCUGAAUAUUUAGUUGUUGAAGGCUGGGAAGAAGUUGCGGUAAGUGAAAUUGGUAGAAGUCUUCUAUCCAAGGAGUCUUUGGUAGAACUUCCAGUUUGCACUUCAUAAUGUAUUGUCUCUUACUUGAAAAUUCAGCACCAUAUUUCAUUAAAUUGAAAGGAUUCAGCACCAUAUUUCUAGAAGCAAUCUUGAAUAAGUUUGAAUUAAGCUGAUAGACUUGCACUGAUAGUUAAUUUGUAACUUUAAUUCUUUUUCGAAGUUGCUUUGGUCUCUAUACGUCAAUUGUAAGAUGUAAAAUGUAUGUUGGGGGUGGAUGUGGUAGUCAAUUUCCGUAAUCUGAUUAGUAUUACGUCAAAAAAUGAAGUGAAUAGAUAAAAAUGUAGGUUAAGAUUGUUGGGCUUAGUUAACUUAAGUAAAGUUACCUGUUUGGGCCGUGCAGUUAGAAUUUAUUAGGUAUCUUAGACUGAACUUUGGACGUGAUGGGUAGGAUUAGAAGGAAAGGAUGUAUUUGUAAUUUUGUUAUAUUUUUACUGGGGCGACAGCUCCAACUAAUCACUGGAGAUAUGAGUUACUCUUCUUUAGACAUCUGGGAGGGGGGCGUCUUUGGAUAAGAAGGGGGUGAGAGACUAAAAUAGGAAAGAGAUUUCAGAAAUUAAAAGAUGGAGGGGGAGGAAAAUUGAUAAGUUGGAAAUUCGUUUGAUUUAUGUGCUUGGUAUCAGGUUGGAUUGUAUUGGGAUUGAACUUCUUCAGGUAAGAACCAAACCCUCAAUUUUUGAUGAUUUUUUCCAGUAGGUGAGCAUAAAAACAGUAAGUUUCAACUUCUAUGUCUUUAGGCCAAAAGAUUGUUUUGCAACUGUUUGAUAGAACGUCUAUGAGAUAGGGAAACUUGUGUGAACUGUGUGGGUAAUAGCUUGCUUCUCUUAGAAAUUAUAAUUAGAUUUAGUUCCUUUAUGAAGAAGUAAAGGCCACUGAGUGUUGAUUCCGAAGUGAAAUCAAAAUGCUACAAACCGAACAAUGGGCUAUAACUUACGUCUGGUUUAAGAUGUGCUGAUGCGAAUCAUUAUUAACCAUGGAUUAGUAGUUAAUGAUCCAUUAUGUCUUAGAAAAGAGAUAUAGGGUGUUUCUGAUAAUAAGUGAAGACGACUAAAAUGAUUACAGAUCAAUAGAUGGGUUAAAAUCAUAAGGUCAGGUAAAAAAUUUAAGGUAAGGUAAUUGUCAGAUUUCUCUGUGGUCUUUUCACAGAUGCAAGUUCUUGGUAUAAUUGUUGCUACGGAAUAUUUCCAUUGAUUGUGCAUACUGGUAUUGAAUGUUCUUCAUGAGUGUGCAAUGUAUGAUGUGUGCAUAUUGAAUACAUCACUGGUGGAUUUCUUUUAAAUGUCCCUAAGUUCCUAUUGAAUACAUCACUGGUAUUGGUAGACUUUGUACAGGUGAAUCAGCAAAAACGGCUCACGGCUCACCUGUAGCGUCUAAUCAUGCGAAGGUAAUGCUUGAUCUCAUUAUCAUGCCAGAUGAAUUGACAAUAAAUGUUAACAGGUUUGUGCGCACCUUUCAAUAUGUUGAAAUUGGAGGUUUCGUGGUUCAUCCAAAGAUGUGCAUCUCAUAUAUAUGAUUAGGAGGGUCGAACUAUUUUUUUGGAGAUGUUAUGAAGAUAUCACAGCCAUUAUCUUUUGCGUAUGUCAACGAUAAACAUAUAUGGAUUUUACUUUUUAUGUAAUGUUCGGCCGGAUUUUUACUUUUUUUUUUUGCUAAUUUUCACACUUGUGCAUUUGUGCAUAAGAAGACUAUGAUGUAGUAUGCAGCAGAUUCUUAUGCAACUAUGCAUAAGGAAGUAUUUUACUUUUAACUGAAAAAAACUUGGUAAUGUAUAUGUAUGUGUGUAUGUGUGUGAAUGAAUUUUACUUCUUGCAUUUGUGUGGUUCCUGUAUAUGUAUAUGUUUGUAGUUGUGCAGGAGUAUAAGGUCAACUAAAGCUAGUAGCCACCCGAGCUAUAUCAAUCCAUGGUAAGUUGAUUUGGUUAUGCUUGGAGCCCAUCUUUGCUGAAAUUUGUUGAUAUUAACCUUUGGAUUUCACUUUUUUGCGAGAUAUUACACUUAAUGAUCUUUUUGCUGCCGGAUUAUGCCGCUGACGACCUUUCUCUGUCUAAAGGUCCAAUCAACCAAAGUGGUUAUGAAGCUGUAGUUAGGAAUGGUGAAAUGAAGUUCUGUGUGCUUGCUGUUGGUAAGGUGGUGAUGUGAAUCUUAGCUGAAUUUGCAAGCAGAGAUGCAGUAUAUGGGUCUUAUUGAGUUGCUGGUACUGUGCAGUGGUUGCUUUCGAAACUGAGAAGAUGAUUUGCAGGUUGGCAUUGCAGGUGCAGUUGGAUACAAAGAAGCUAGUGGUACUGGUCAAGAUGAAGUUGCAGCUGCAGGUGGACUGGUUGGCCUGGGAUGCAGUAGCAAGUUGCAGAGACUGAGCUGUUGAGUGGAACUGGAGUUGUGUUUGAAAUGCAGUUAGGAGAUUAAGAUUGAAAGUCAUGAGCAGAUGGUGUUUGAGACUGUGGUGCUGAGAAGAUGAUUCCAUGUGGUGAACAGAUUGAAUGGAAACUUGGUCCAGUGGAGCUAGUUAAGGUAUGUGAGAACCAUCCUCAGGGAGUUAGAUUUAAAGAUACUAAGGAUGCUCACAAGUGUAUAGAGCUAAUGAAUGUAAGAUGGUAAGUACUGCAACACUUUUGUGUCCAAAAUUCUUUUUAUCAUCAUAGUUAUCAAUGUCAAUAUAAGCAAUACCGCAUAUGAGCAUUUGCAGAA